rnacentral:lncRNA from 1 species
AACUAGGCCAGCUUCCUAGUGUCUGGUAUAAUAAUAUCAAAACUGCGCUGGGCGCUUAGAACGUGUCCAGCACCUCACAUGCAUGAGUGUAUUGAAUCCCACAGCAGGCCAGUCCUAUUAUUAUUCUGACUUUCCAAGCUGAAGAAAUGGAGACUUUUCAGAGUCACAUGGCUUGCCCAAGUCACCAGCUUGUUAAUCACAGAAGCAGGACUGCAGCCUGGGCCUGUCUCUCCCUGAAGCUGCCUCCUCUCUGGACCUGGACUGAGUCCUGGUGAUCGGGAAGGAGCGGCGGGCACAGGCAAGCCGCUGUCUGCUCAGGCUCGGGUUUCCUCAUCUGUGAAACGGGAACGGAUGUGGCUUCUUAACCAUUACGCUGUGUCCGUCACAGUCAUUCUCACUUCUCGAGUACCCAGUUGGUGGGAGUUCCAGUAUGGCACAGAGAUACAGGAUUGUGUUUUUGUUUUUUCACUCUGGAAUGAUCUUAGAGAAAUUUGAUGGGAAAAAUGAGAGCAGGGAAGGGUCAAAGGCCAGAGGUCCAGCCCUGCAUUUUCCAGGGUUGUGAUCUUUGCGUUUCGUCUCCUCAGCUGCAAGAUGAGUCACGGUUCUACUUCCCCUGGAAGGGCAGAAGUUGCAUAAGAUUGUUGAGGCUCAAGCGAGAUAAUGUGUGAGGCUGUUACUCCAGACUAGAGCCUUGAUUUUUAAACUUCAGCGUGCAUCAGAAUCGCCUGGAAGGUUUGUUAGAACCCCGCCCCCAGAGUUUCUCCUUCAGGGGGUCCAGGGUGGGCCUGAGAGUUUCUGAAGUGUUCCCAGGGGUUGCCGAUGCUGCUAGUCCAGGCACUAUAUUUAGGGAACCCCCGUCCUAAAGCCUCACCAAUUGAAUCUCCUAAGAUGAUGAAGAUGGCCUACAUCUGUGCUGUCCUAAACGGUAGCCAACAGCCACACGUGGCUACUGAGAACUCGGAGUGUGGCUAGCACGCCUGAGGACCCGAAUUUAAAAAACAGUUAAUUUUAAUUAACUUAAAUUUAAAUAGCCACGUAUGGUUGGUGGCCAGCGUUUUGGACAGUGUUGUUCUAGAGCUCAUCUGAGUUUGCAGAUGAAGAAACCGAGGCUUUGAGAGGUACCUCCCCUCCCUUGGAGUCUCAUGGCAAUCCUGGGGUGGUGCUCCGGCUGGCUGGCCUUCUUGAACAGGUCCUGUGAUAUGGGAACAUUUGAGUGCUUUGGGGGUGUCUUUGUUGCUUUGAGUUCCAGGUAGCUGAAAGGAGUGGGCUGGAAGGGGACGGGGAGACCCAUUUGCUGGCUCAUGACAAAGAUGAGAGCUGCAGACACAGCGCACAGCGGCAGGAAAAGGCUAAAUGAAAGAGGAUCAUCAGAGCGAAUCACGCUACUGCUCAGAAUGACCAGCUCUUCGGGAUUGAAGAAAGCUUCCUUCAUCCUGUCCUUGGCCUCCGUGGUCAAAGAGCUUCAGGGGCCUUGCUGACCUCCUUCCUCUCCAUUUUGCUGUGCCCUCUCACUGUCCCUGAACUUGAGAUCCUGGAGGUUUAGCUGUGCUCUGGGUCCCUUGAAGACUUCGGAGGCAAUCCACUAAGAAAUGGGGAUUUAAGUGAGACAUGAAGAAGAACUUCCUUAUGGCAAGAACUAUAAGAUGUUGAAGACAAGACACAGUAUUGGGAGUAAAGGCGGUGAGGCACGGAAAUAUAUUUACCAACACCCAGGGAACCGAGUCUUCUCCCCCAGGAUCCCUGCUCUGCUCGUUCAGGGCAGGAAUCCCAGCCAGCACAAGGCCCAGGGCUGCUGAGUGAACUCACUAGCUAGCUAGUCACUGAGCAACAGAGUCUGGAGUCUGGGUCCCCUGAUGCCCAGUCUUGAGCUCUUUCAUGUCCUCCAUUCCUCACUCAGUUGACACGAAGGCACUGGGGCCUGAAGGACACGGAACAGGUGAGGCCAGUCCCCCUGCUUGAACAGCUCUGUGUAGGAAAGGAGAUGACUCCCUCUCCCCUCUCCCCUCUCCCCACGGUCUCCCUCUCCCUCUCUUUCCCCGGUCUCCCUCU